rnacentral:rRNA from 1 species
GAUGAACGCUGACAGAAUGCUUAACACAUGCAAGUCAACUUGAAUUUGGGUUUUUAACUUCGGCUUGGGUGGCGGACGGGUGAGUAACGCGUAAAGAACUUGCCUCACAGCUAGGGACAACAUUUGGAAACGAAUGCUAAUACCUAAUAUUAUGAUAAUAGGGCAUCCUAUAAUUAUGAAAGCUAUAAGCGCUGUGAGAGAGCUUUGCGUCCCAUUAGCUAGUUGGAGAGGUAACGGCUCACCAAGGCGAUGAUGGGUAGCCGGCCUGAGAGGGUGAUCGGCCACAAGGGGACUGAGACACGGCCCUUACUCCUACGGGAGGCAGCAGUGGGGAAUAUUGGACAAUGGACCGAGAGUCUGAUCCAGCAAUUCUGUGUGCACGAUGAAGUUUUUCGGAAUGUAAAGUGCUUUCAGUUGGGAAGAAACAAAUGACGGUACCAACAGAAGAAGUGACGGCUAAAUACGUG